rnacentral:rRNA from 1 species
GACGAACGCUGGCGGCGUGCUUAACACAUGCAAGUCGAACGAUGAAGCCGGAGCUUGCUCUGGUGAAUUAGUGGCGAACGGGUGAGUAACACGUGAGUAACCUGCCCUUGACUCUGGGAUAACUGCGGGAAACUGUAGCUAAUACCGGAUACGACUCUCGGAGGCAUCUCCUGGGGGUGGAAAGAAUUUCGGUCAAGGAUGGACUCGCGGCCUAUCAGCUAGUUGGGGGGGUAAAGGCUCACCAAGGCGACGACGGGUAGCCGGCCUGAGAGGGUGACCGGCCACACUGGGACUGAGACACGGCCCAGACUCCUACGGGAGGCAGCAGUGGGGAAUAUUGCACAAUGGGCGCAAGCCUGAUGCAGCAACGCCGCGUGAGGGAUGACGGCCUUCGGGUUGUAAACCUCUUUUAGCAGGGAAGAAGCGAAAGUGACGGUACCUGCAGAAAAAGCACCGGCUAACUACGUGCCAGCAGCCGCCGUAA